AUUUUUUUUUUUUUACCUAAAACCGAUUGUUGCGGGUUAUAAUAAUAUGAUAUGAACAAAAUAAUAUCUACGCGCAUACAAUAAAUAAUUAUAUGUACAAUAAUAAUAAUAAUAAUAUAAUAUGUUAUACCCUUUUUUUUUAAAAGCCGGACAAAAUAAAAAUGAAAAAAAAAAAAAAAACCACACAUUUUAGAGGCGUGCGGCCUCGUCUUAUCACUAUACUAUCACGCUGUGAGCUCAACGAGCACGUCGUUUUUUCUACGUUAUUUGGACGCGACAGUAUAAUGUUAUAAUAUGCUCACUGUACAGGUAGUUCGUUUUUCGGUUAUUCGCUUCAGACGCUUCCACGCCCCUGUUUUCCUAGAUUCUGUUAUAACAAUUAUUAUUGUAGUAUCUCUAGUAUCUCACGGUUUAUGCGCUGACCGUAACACACGAACGAUUCUCGGGGCGGAAAAUGAAUACGUGAAGAUUCACCGUCGACUUUACAACGCCUUUGGUAAAAACGGCCGAGACGCAUACUUACAACGGUAUAAUAGAUUACCACGGUAAAUAAUAAACGACCGUCGAACAGAUUAAACAAAAGUCGAGUCGAUUGCCAGCCACAUUAGAUUACCGCACGCCGCCGUCCGCCGUUCCUCGGGGUCUUUUGAACGUUUCUUCGUAGCGAUUCGGUUUACAUGAUACCGUCGUUCAUGAUUUUCAGCAGAAACAAUGCGAAAUUUACCGAACGGUAUACAAAACGAUCCGCGAGACGGGUCGUUGUCGUAGUGGUUUUUGAUUUUCUGACGAGAAAAAACAGAAACGACAAUCGAGACGGCGGUGGAAAUUACGCGAAACUCCGGAACGCGGAACAGCAAAAGGCUCGAGCGAAAAAUUAUACAUGA